rnacentral:lncRNA from 1 species
ACACGUAGCGGCCAAGAUGGCGCUAGCGGUUGGAGCAGGGGCUCUGCUGCGACCUUUACGGUAGUGAGGUUAGGGACGAUGGGAGAGCAGCUUUGUUCCUGAAGUGCCGUCGAGGAUUAGGAUCGAGUUUCUUCGAUCGUGAGGGCAAUUAUUAGUGGCCUCUAGCCCCCCAGAUGGCAUCUUGAGGAGAGAGAAUCCACGCUACGAGAACUAACAUAGUGGACAUCGCAGUUGUCCGUAGCCGAUUUGCGGGUUACGGAGUUGUUGCAAGUAAAGAAGGGGAAAUCCGAGCGUUCUCGCGUUGGAUUUCCUCCACGUGUGAAGUGGGAAUGGUAGUGAUAUCUCGUGCUAUCUCUGUCAAGGGCAAGAAGGAGAAGGAAUUUAUUUGAGGCCCUACGACGUGGUGCGGUGGCUCACGCCUGUAAUCCCAACACUUUGGGAGGCCGAGGCAGGCGGAUCAUCUGAGAUCGAGAGUUCGAGACCAGCUUGACCAACAUGGAGAAACCCCGUCUCUACUAAAAGUACAAAAUUAGCCAGGCAUGGUGGCACAUGCCCGUAAUCCCAGCUACUCGGGAGGCUGAGGCAGGAGAGUAGCUUGAGCCCAGGAGGCGGAGGUUGUGGUGAGCCGAGAUCGCGCCAUUGCACAGCCUGGGCAACGAGCGAAACUCCAUCUCAAAAAAAUAAAUAAAAAUUUUUUUAAAAAAG